rnacentral:rRNA from 1 species
UACGGAGGGUGCAAGCGUUAUCCGGAUUCACUGGGCUUAAAGGGUGCGUAGGUGGGCAGGUAAGUCAGUGGUGAAAUCUCUGGGCUCAACUCAGAAACUGCCAUUGAUACUAUUUGUCUUGAAUACCGUGGAGGUCAGCGGAAUAUGUCAUGUAGCGGUGAAAUGCUUAGAUAUGACAUAGAACACCAAUUGCGAAGGCAGCUGGCUACACGAAUAUUGACACUGAUGCACGAAAGCGUGGGGAUCAAACAGG